CUGUUCUUUGGGCUCCAUUUCUGAAAUAAUUAUCCACACACAAGAUUGACUCAACCCUUGCUUCUGGAGAAACCCAGGCUGACUCUACCUAUCAAAAUGUUUCAGGAUUUUGCGAAGUUGAUUACAGUGAUGUUGGAGGAUUGUCUGAAUCAUAAGCAAAGUCAAUGACGAAUGAGGACCCAAAAGAAUUGGAUGAGUUAAAAUCUACCACAGCAGUCCUUAAGCAAGAGAAUAAAGUACUCUAAUAGUUUUGCAAGAAAAGGAGCCCCUAGGAUUCAUCAGACUCCCCCAGUGGGGCCAUGGCACAAAUACAAGUGAUUCUACUAAGUGGGGAAGAGCACUGAGAAUGCUCACGGUGUCACGCGGCAGCAGUCAUGCACUCCCUGUAGCUUUUGCGUUUCUGAAGUUGGGGCCACAGUGAUUUCUGAAGGAGGAGGAGCUGAACUUGAGUUGCCUGGUGUUAAUAAAGGGCUCUGUGUUUCAACACUGUUUGUCAUGCGAUUGAUUUGUGGGGUGGGGAUGACUUUUGUUUAUUCUUCUUGCUACUAAAUGUAACAAUAUUGCAACACCUCCUGCACAGGUGGCCCUGAAAGACAAAUAGAUCCUAAAUGAGACAGUCCUUCUCAGACAGUCCAGUACUUUACAAAGGCGCCACGUUGGUUAGGCAUUGUCUUCUCAUCCGAAUUCUUCAGUGGCUGAAUGAGGCACAACUUACCGCUGAGUAAGGAAUAGGACAACCCCAUCAGAUGCAACAUUUCUGACCAUGUCUGGUGUCCCACGUCUCCGAGUGAAUUUAAAUUCCAGUUGACGUCCUUCCUACAGUAGAGAGUGCCUAAAAGCUGGGUUUUUUUUUUUUGAGUAAAAACAACACAAAGUCAAAACAGUGAAGAAUAAAAACUUGGAACACUAACAAAUCCAAAAAGAUGAGUAAGUUGAGAGCAGUGGUUUUUGAUGUGCAUUUCCUGUCAGCAAUAGCCACGUGGCUCAUGGCCACAUCCUAACUUUGGUGGACCAGGGCCACUUUUGCCUUCAUGUGCCCCUUCUUUCAUUAAAAAAAUCAAAUAAAAUUAAGAUUAAUAUGUUAAGACUGCACUGUUGGAUUCAUCAUUAUACAUUCACUCUUAUUAUAUUAACUAUUUUCUUCUGAUUAAAAACCAAACCAUUUUCUUGGGCCACUAAAAGCAAAGUAUGCCACAGGCGCUAUACCUGUUGUGCUUCGUGAGAAAGUUGGUCCCCGCAUUGCCUGGCAACUUGGAAAUGCAAAUUCUUGGGUCCUACCCUAGACUUAAUGAACCAGAAUUUCAGCAAUGUGUGUUUUGACAAACCCUCCAGGUGAUUCCAAACCA